GACAGAGGAGGCGAGCGUUAUCCGGAGUUAUUGGGCGUAAAGGGUACGUAGGCGGCUGGUCAAGUAUGGGGUUAAAGACCACAGCUUAACUGUGGGGGGGCCUUGGAAACUGACCGGCUGGAGUGGGGCAGGGGUUGCGGGAAUUCCCGGCGUAGCGGUGAAAUGCGUAGAUAUCGGGAAGAACACCUGAGGCGAAAGCGCGCAACUGGGCCCUAACUGACGCUGAGGUACGAAAGCUAGGGGAGCGAAUUGG
rnacentral:rRNA from 1 species